rnacentral:miRNA from 1 species
AUAGCAGCAUGAACCUGUCUCA